CUGAAAUCUUGGUUUCGAAAUUUGGGAAUUCUAUCAAUGCUUGGGUUAUUGAGGCACCUGUCUUCAAUGGACCUUUUGCGGUGUAUAAGGAUUUUAUACCUUCUGUCAAUGAAUAUGGAGAGCCUAAAUCUUAUGAUGCAGAUGGUUUCCCUGCUUCUUCCUCCAUUGUCUUGCUUUUGUGGAAUUGUUUAAAAGAGGCAAAAAGUGUCAUCUCAGGGAAACAAAAAGAGCCCUAUCAAGCUGAAGUUUCUACAUCAUCUCUGAGUACACCAAG
rnacentral:misc_RNA from 1 species